rnacentral:lncRNA from 1 species
AGAAGGGUCUUCUAGUGGUAGUCCUGUGUCUGGCUUGAGCAGCUCAAGAGAGUACACUAAUAGCAUGGAUGGCCAGAUUGUGCUUGAUGAUUCUGAGGAUGAGGAUGAUGACGACGAUAAUGAGGAUGACGAUGAGAAGGGAUUUGAUUCUGCUGCCUUGGCUGCCCUUUUGAAAGCGGCAACUGGUGCAUCCCCUGAUGGAAAUAUCACAGUUGCUUCCCAAGAUGGUUCUAGAAUCUUCUCCAUGGACAGACCAGCUGGUCUGGGCUCUUCAGCCCCGUCUUUGAGGCCAACAGCCCCUCGCCAACCUGCCCGGUCAAAUCUCUUCAACCCCUCUGAGCUGGCAAUGACUGCUGAACCUAAUGAAGAGAUGACAGAGGAAGAGAAGAAGUUGCAUGAGAAGGUUGAGCUGAUCCGGGUAAAGUUUCUGCGUCUCGUGUAUAAAUUAGGGGCCACUCCUGAUGAAACAGUAGCAGCACAAGUG